rnacentral:rRNA from 1 species
CAGUAGCCACGGUAAUACGAAGGGUGCAAGCGUUAAUCGGAAUUACUGGGCGUAAAGCGUGCGUAGGCGGUGAGUUAAGUCUGCUGUGAAAUCCCCGGGCUCAACCUGGGAAUGGCAGUGGAUACUGGCUCGCUAGAGUGUGUCAGAGGAUGGUGGAAUUCCCGGUGCAGCGGUGAAAUGCGUAGAGAUCGGGAGGAACAUCAGUGGCGAAGGCGGCCAUCUGGGACAACACUGACGCUGAGGCACGAAAGCGUGGGGAGCAAACAGGAUUAGAUACCCAUGUAGUCCCUGUCUCUUAUAC